AUUCUGCUCAGAUUGAACGCUGGCGGCGUGCUUAACACAUGCAAGUCGAGCGAGAAAGUUCUCUUCGGAGAAUGAGUAGAGCGGCGCACGGGUGAGUAACGCGUGGAUAAUCUACCCUGAAGAUCGGGAUAACAGUUGGAAACGACUGCUAAUACCGGAUAUCCUGCAUAUUUAGCUUUAUGUGGUAAAGGCGGCCUCUAUUUAUAAGCUGCCGCUUUGGGAUGAGUCCGCGUCUCAUUAGCUUGUUGGUGGGGUAAUGGCCUACCAAGGCAACGAUGAGUAGCUGGUCUGAGAGGAUGAUCAGCCACACUGGGACUGAAACACGGCCCAGACUCCUACGGGAGGCAGCAGUGGGGAAUAUUGCGCAAUGGGGGAAACCCUGACGCAGCGACGCCGCGUGCGGGAAGAAGGCCUUCGGGUCGUAAACCGCUGUCAGGAGGGAAGAAACUGUUAGGGUAUAAUACGCCCUUUCACUGACGGUACCUCCAAAGGAAGCACCGGCUAACUCCGUGCCAGCAGCCGCGGUAAUACGGAGGGUGCGAGCGUUAAUCGGAAUCACUGGGCGUAAAGCGCACGUAGGCGGCGCAUCAAGUCAGGCGUGAAAGCCCUCGGCUCAACCGAGGAAUUGCGCUUGAAACUGGUGUGCUGGAGUCUCGGAGAGGUUGGCGGAAUUCCAGGUGUAGGAGUGAAAUCCGUAGAUAUCUGGAGGAACACCGGUGGCGAAGGCGGCCAACUGGACGAGUACUGACGCUGAGGUGCGAAAGCGUGGGGAGCAAACAGGAUUAGAUACCCUGGUAGUCCACGCUGUAAACGAUGGAUAUUAGGUGUCGGGGGUUACCUUCGGUGCCGCAGUUAACGCGUUAAAUAUCCCGCCUGGGGA
rnacentral:rRNA from 2 species